rnacentral:lncRNA from 1 species
GGUCACGGUUGAGCCUAUUUGGAUUCAAUCUCAUCUCUUUUGUCCAUCGUAUACCUUAUCACCGAUGCUUCUCAAAACAGCCACAAGCUCGGAAGUGCUCAUAUUGAAAUUGUAACCACCAAAUCUCGCCUUCAAAUUUCUAUUUUCAUCUCGUGACCCAUGGGUGUUACGAUCAUUCCUAAAUCUUGAUGAAGAGCCUGACUCUCUAUUCCUUGAUCUGUGAUCAUACCUUUGAUUGUCCUAUUUUGAC